rnacentral:rRNA from 1 species
AUAUUGGACAAUGGGCGAAAGCCUGAUCCAGCAAUGCCGCGUGGAGGACGAAGGCCCUCGGGUCGUAAACUCCUUUUGUGAGGGAAGAAGUUCUGACGGUACCUCACGAAUAAGCACCGGCUAACUACGUGCCAGCAGCCGCGGUAAUACGUAGGGUGCAAGCGUUGUCCGGAUUUAUUGGGCGUAAAGAGCCCGCAGGCGGCCUGGCUAGUCUCAGGUGAAAUCUCCCGGCUCAACUGGGAGAGGUCCUGGGAAACUGCCAGGCUUGAGGCAGGGAGAGGGAUGUGGAAUUCCCGGUGUAGUAGUGAAAUGCGUAGAUAUCGGGAGGAACACCAGUGGCGAAGGCGGCAUCCUGGCCCUGUCCUGACGCUCAGGGGCGAAAGCGUGGGGAGCAAACCGG